UACGUAGGGGGCAAGCGUUGUCCGGAUUCAUUGGGCGUAAAGAGCGUGUAGGCGGCCAGGUAGGUCGGUUGUGAAAACUGGAGGCUCAACCUUCAGAGGUCGACCGAAACCAUCUGGCUAGAGUCCGGGAGAGGAGAGUGGAAUUCCUGGUGUAGCGGUGAAAUGCGCAGAUAUCAGGAGGAACACCGGUGGCGAAGGCGGGACUCUGGGCCGAUACUGACGCUGAGGAGCGAAAGCGUGGGGAGCGAACAGG
rnacentral:rRNA from 1 species